rnacentral:rRNA from 1 species
UCAUACGUAGGAUCCAAGCGUUAUCCGGAGUGACUGGGCGUAAAGAGUUGCGUAGGCGGCAUGCUAAGCAGAUAGUGAAACCUUGUGGCUCAACCAUUAAGACUAUUAUCUGAACUGGCGUGCUAGAGAAUGGUAGAGGUAGCUGGAAUUUCUAGUGUAGGAGUGAAAUCCGUAGAUAUUAGAAGGAACACCAAUGGCGUAGGCAGGCUACUGGACCAUUUCUGACGCUGAGGCACGAAAGCGUGGGGAGCGAACCGG